rnacentral:rRNA from 1 species
UACGUAGGGUGCAAGCGUUGUCCGGAAUUAUUGGGCGUAAAGAGCUCGUAGGCGGUUUGUCGCGUCUGCUGUGAAAACCCGAGGCUCAACCUCGGGCCUGCAGUGGGUACGGGCAGACUAGAGUGCGGUAGGGGAGAUUGGAAUUCCUGGUGUAGCGGUGGAAUGCGCAGAUAUCAGGAGGAACACCAAUGGCGAAGGCAGAUCUCUGGGCCGUAACUGGACGCUGAGGAGCGAAAGCAUGGGGAGCGAACAGG